UGCCAGCAGCCGCGGUAACACCGGCGGCCCGAGUGGUAAUCACUAUUAUUGGGUCUAAAGGGUCCGUAGCCGGUUUAAUCAGUCUUCCGGGAAAUCUGAUAGCUCAACUAUUAGGCUUCCGGGGGAUACUGUUAGACUUGGGACCGGGAGAGGUAAGAGGUACUACAGGGGUAGGAGUGAAAUCUUGUAAUCCCCGUGGGACCACCAGUGGCGAAGGCGUCUUACCAGAACGGGUCCGACGGUGAGGGACGAAAGCUGGGGGCACGAACCGGAUUAGAUA
rnacentral:rRNA from 1 species